rnacentral:rRNA from 1 species
CAAAGAUUAAGCCAUGCAUGCGUAGGUCUAUGGCUCCCUUGGGAUGCCAGAGACUGCAGACGGCUCAUUAUCUCAGUGAGAAUCUACUUUGCGAACACUCGAACUGGAUAAUUGCGGGAAUUCUGCGACUAAUACAAUUCGCUCGCUGGGGUAUCCGGCUCUCGACCAAUCGCCUUGUGCGUUUUGUGUUGAAUCACGGAUUCCCUUCGUCGAUUCUAUCGACACGCAAAAUGGAUUUCUGCCCUAUCAACUAGACGGUUGGCUCUGGGCCUACCGUGGUUACAACGGGUGACGGGGAAUGAGGGUUCGACCCCGGAGAGGGAGCCUGAGAGACGGCUACCACAUCU